UAAAAUGAAGUGAUACAAUCACGUUGGGUUGUGGCGCCAAAGAAGAAUAAGUUAUUCCAUUUUAA
rnacentral:tRNA from 1 species